AUUUGGCUUACGGCAGCUCUCCAUGUUUUCAGCGCCGGAGCCGGAUCAAAAAGGAGGAAGUGCCGCAGGCCUGCGGUGCGGCAGUGUGGAGAUCUGCCGUAAAGCCGUGCUGUUUUAACAGCCGGGAGGGAGCGUAUGCGGGGGCAGCGCUUCCAGGGCCCCGUUGCCAUGGCA
ncrna:unclassified sequences malK-I RNA